ensembl:lncRNA KCNQ5-DT KCNQ5 divergent transcript
CACACCCAGCCCCAGGCUUCCCCUUCCCUCUCUCCACUCCCCACGCCCUGCAGCGAAACGGCCCCAGAAGCCCCUCUCCGAGGCGCGAGUUCGGUUUGGUUCUGGCAGGGGCUUUGCAGCUGUCCGGAAGGUGAAGUCAGCCUUGUGUCCUGAGGAGAAACUGGAGAUGCAGGUCGCUGUGCCCUCCCGCUGCUACGUCGCUGCGCCGGAUCCUGCCAUCCUUCCGCAAGGGGUGAGAGCGGGAACAGCCCUGCCCUGCCUUCCAGGUAUUAUCUAGCCUGGAGGCUGGAGCGCAAGGUAACGCUCCGGGAAGUGGCACUCGGGUCCCCGCACACGGGCGAGUCCUCAGCAGUUCAGUGGACAGACCCGCAGGACGCGGCUGCCAAGUCCGCGAGGCAAGGACCAGGCAUCUUCCCGCGCCUCACUCCAGCCUGCGGACUGUGACUUUCCAUCCCAGUAUCAGACAAGCUCGCGAGUAACUGAACAUCCUUUCCAGUCCAUGGGUGGGGUGUGGAAAGGGCGUAAAACUCCAAAGUGGCUCCUCCGCGGUGAGCGAGCUGCCCCGGGGCUCUGCCUGACUGCAGCGCGAAGCCUGGGAGAACAAACCCAGUUCCCUCCGUCAAGAAAUUUCCAUUUAAGUCCGAGAAAGUCAUAUGAUUGAGAAGUUCAGCAGCGGCGGCGAGGACCCAGUGUCUGGGAAAGAACACCUGGAGGAUGGGGUGUCCAGGACGCCGGCUUUUCGGGGUUCCGACCCCACCCACCUUAUGUUGUAACAUACAAGCUUAGAGACCUGUUGCAAGGAACAACUGACUGGGUCUUCCACCACCCCUGGCACCCGGGUGGCCCAAAGCCUAUGCGCCCUUGGCGGAGAGAGAGGCCACGGUGCCACUGGCCGCAGCCUCUGGCCUUCAGAAACAGUGUAUUACAAAGAAAAGGCAGUUUAAAUCUCACAUUCAGCAUAGGGAAAACUGAAGGGUGCCAGGCUCGGGGACUUCUUCCAACAGAGUGGCUCUUCCCCAAAUAUGAAAGAAAAUCAUCAAAUUAAAUUGAAGGCAAAACUAAGCUUCCACCACAAAGACAUAGCAGAUAGUUGCAAGGUGGAUUCCUUCGGGCCUUUUCCUUUCCUAAGGCUAAAACAAUGCUAAGACAAAAGUCUUCUUGCAGCUGUCUCCGCCCCUCCGAGAUAAAUACUUUCCCAAUUCUCCCCCACCCUGUACACACACCCACGCCCGCGGCAGCUGAUUUCUGUCUUCUGCAAUAGCUCGAUUUAAAUGCUUUGCUUUUACUCUUUAUUAUCACUAUUAUUUGUGUGAAGCCCUCUCGCCUGCUCCUGGUCACCAGCAGGAGCCUGCUUCCCUCCCUCCUUCCCCCCAAGCCUCUGGGCAGCAGAAGCUAGCUGGGAGCUCUGUGCAGCUGGCGGCGACGCCAUGUGACUGUGAGCCGAGCACCAUCACCCAGAGUCACUCUCUAGCUUUCCCCUAAUACACUUCACACCCACGCACUGUGGAGGUGCGAGAGAGGUUGCUCCGUGCGGUGCUAUUCGAGGCAGAUGCAGAGAGCGCCCUGGAGUAAGCUCUCCAAUCCUAGAGCUGCGCGGGACCCUGACUGAAGGCGGAGGGGGCGGGAGGGGGUGCUGUUGCUAUAUUUAGACUCCCUAUGGAGUUUCUGUGCAGGGACUUUCAGGGUGAAAGAUCUAGAGACUUAAAAUGACUCGUGUGCCCGCUUUAAACGUCAAAAUCUUGGCCUUUCUGCAAGCAGUAAAAUGAAAACCACUUCCUCUUAACUUAGCUGUUUUCCUUGUUGCAGACUGCUACUUUCGCUGGGUAGGUAAAGUCACUUCCAUCUCUCUGGCGCGGCUGGGCCCCGCGUGCAGGCAAGAAGUCUCAGGAAGGCAGGACACAGGGACACGUUUCCCUGGAAGACAGCCAGCUGUUUAAUUUCUAAGUGAUGCUUUUCUGGGGAUGCAGCAUUAGUUCUAGUGAAACUGUAUUAUUGAUUAAGCAAAUGCCAUUUAAGCUUAAUUAAAAAAUAAAAAAGACCCGGUUACUGGUAGCCGUUUUGAGCUGCUGAGAAGGACCUUUCACUUAUGUCUUCUAGAGUAACCGCCAUUUGGAUACACAGCCCAGAAAAAGAGGGCCUGCUCAAGUUUUCGCGGGUAGUGUGAGAGUUACUAGGAAUCCAACAACCUGGCUUCCUAGUUCACUGUUCCUUCCACCAAUCAAUCUGCAUCUCCAGCAGAGAAUGGAUAAAAUAGCAAACAGUUCUGGGGUUUUGUAUCAAUCUCUGACUGCAACCAUUGGGAAAGACUGGCUUAGCUGAAGUUCUAACCUUCCUACCUUUCAAUGCCCAGAAAGAAAAAGCCAAAAAUUAAUCAGAGAACCCAGGACAACGUCAGAGAUCAUAUGAGCCUCACCAGACUGCAUGAGAGUCAUAACACAGUAGGAGUCCCAGGCCUACCUCACAUGGCAAAUGGGACAGUGUUCUUCAGAACAACCUCUGCCCCAGGGAUGCAGAAAGGAGGGUUUCACUAUGUUGGCCAGUCUGGUGUUGAACUCCUCACCUCAAAUGAUCUGCCCACCUUGGCCUCCCAAAGCGUUGGAGUUACAGACGUGAGCCACCGCGCCCAGCUGGAGAAGAUGUGAAAUUUUGAGAGCUGACCAUACUUUGAGAAUAAUAAGUAGUUGGAUUCUACUGAAGCCCAGUGGCUUUUGGAGGUGUAGCAAUAAGCAGGAGGCAGCAGAAGUAAGACAAGGGCUGUAUGACAAAGUCUUGGCAAGAACUUUGAAUUUUAUCCUGAUGUGAGUGGGGAGAGCCACUGAAGAACGUGAAGCCAGAAACACUACAUGUUACUACUUCUACUUUCAGAAAAGGCUUAAUAUGGAUUAUACACCUACAAGUGGCACACACUGUUCCAAGUGGAGACUCAAAGAUGAUAACGAUACAGUGUUUAUGCUAUAGGUUUGUGAAGCUACCAAUCCAUGGACAGAUGUUAAACCUAACUUCCAAUUUCAGGUACAAAUAUCUGAGUAAAUGAUGGUAUCAUUUACUCAAUCAGUAAAGGUCAAAGAGAAGGCAGUCUGAAGAAGGGAAAGGUGUUCAAUUUUGCAUUGAGUUUGACAUACCUGUUGAGACAGCUCAGUGGAGAUAUCCAGUUGAUGCUUGGAUAUAUGGACUUACAGCUCAGGGGGAGCUAGAAAUUGAAAUUUGAGAAUCAUCAACCUAUAUUUAUAAUGGGUGAAAUCAAUAAGUCGGAAUCAAAUUACCUGGGGAAGCAUGCAGAUUUGUUUAAAAAGGAAGAGGCCUGAGAACCCAACCCUGGUAAGCAUGACCAUUCAGGAUAAGAGAGAAGGAGCAAGUAGGGAAAGAGACUGAAAUAAAGAAACCUGAGUAACCACUGAGGACCACUGCUACAAUAGAGAAAAAGGAACUUCAUUAGGGAAAUGCCUGAAAGCGAAUAAGGUAAGGAUUUUGGAUUUAGCAACAAAGAGGUCAUUUGAAGAAGUUGUUUUUAUUUUUAUUUCCUUGCAGAAUUGUAGAAAUAGAAAUCAAAUCAGAGUGAGCAGAGAAACAAUUUGAAGAUAAGGGAAUGGAGAUAAUUAUUUUAAAGUGGGAGAAGCAAGCAGAAGAUUUAGGUUUGAAGAAGGCACUAUACAAAAUAAUGUUGAUUCACUUGAGACUUGAGUGGCUGUUACAGCCACUCUCACAGGUCCCGAGGCUGAGCCUGCACAGGUGUUUCGACAACUAAGCUGCAAUUUUGACAGACACUAUUUCACUGUCAAUUGUGCGGCCUGCAACAACUUGGACAUCUUUUAUUGAUUUUAUUGAGUACUUUAAUAACAUUUUAAUAAAAGCCAUUAUAUUUUAUUUCUAACAUUUCAAAAAAUUCUAUUUAAUAAGUAUGCAUUUUUCGUGUUUAGUUUUACCAAGAAGGAAAAUGCAUGCUAGAUAAACUACAUUUUUGUUUGAUUUUAUUUGUAAUCAAGGCUGAGGAACUGACCAGAUCAGAAAAAGAAAGUCAAUACCUGCUAAGUAUUCAACACAGUUUUCAACAGUGCUACUGAAAGCUACAGGAGAUACCAAGAGUCCCUCAGACAGGUCAGGGAUUGGCAAGAGUGGGGUCAUCAAGUUUCUGGAGUUUCAAUAAGAUAUUUGCUUUUUUCUUAUAUAUACAUAUUAGCUUUCUGCAUAAAAUUAUAUUAACAGAAAC